rnacentral:snRNA from 1 species
AAGUUUCUAAAUAGUAUCUUUAC